UUCCAGACUCCUACGGGAGGCAGCAGUGGGGGAUAUUGCACAAUGGGGGGAACCCUGAUGCAGCGACGCCGCGUGGGUGAAGAAGCGCCUCGGCGCGUAAAGCCCUGUCAGCAGGGAAGAAAAUGACGGUACCUGAAGAAGAAGCCCCGGCUAACUACGUGCCAGCAGCCGCGGUAAUACGUAGGGGGCAAGCGUUAUCCGGAAUUACUGGGUGUAAAGGGAGAGUAGGCGGCAAGGUAAGCGAUAUGUGAAAGCCUUAGGCUUAACCUGAGGAUUGCAUAACGAACUAUCUAGCUAGAGUACAGGAGAGGAAAGCGGAAUUCCUAGUGUAGCGGUGAAAUGCGUAGAUAUUAGGAGGAACACCAGUGGCGAAGGCGACUUUCUGGACUGUACCUGACGCUGAGGCGCGAAAGCGUGGGUAGCGAACGGGAUUAGAUACCCCCGUAGC
rnacentral:rRNA from 1 species